ACACACACACACAUCACACGCUCCCCACACACACGCUCUGUCUGCUCGCCCCCACACACACACACUAUGUCUCUCUCUCUCUCUCUCGCUCUGUCUGUCUCUCUCGGUGCUUCAGUUUCGUUGUCUCUUCAGGGAGUUGCAGUUCUCAUCUGUAGCUCCACAGUACCUCGUCUCCUCCAGAGCUCCAGACAGUUCUCCAACCAGACAUGAACCAACCACCUCCCCAGACACAACCUACAAUCACCCCUGGUGUAACCCAGGUGGUGGU